UAAUUACAGAUAAGAAUUAUUGCACCAUUUUUCAGAUGAAGAAACUGGAAAUUCAGAGGUGUUAGCUUGUCCAAGAUGAUAACAUUUACUUACUGCUUCACUGACAUAAGAACCAGCCCUCGAGAAGAAUAUACAGAGGAGUAGUUGCCAGCAACCUUCCUGCCAACUUGGCCCAAGAUCUUCAAAGAAGACGCCGAAAGCUCCUGUAGACCCUACCUGCUGUUUCUUCCCAAACUGAGGCACAGUCACGCUUAGAGUAGUCGCCAUUUUCUCUAAAGGGCACUUUUAGCCUGACAGAGGAGAUGAGAAAUGUUGAUGGGAGAUGAAUCAGCUAUGAACUUCAUCAGUAGUUUCUGGACAAAUUAUUAAUGUUUAGAAACUGGAGAUGAAA
rnacentral:lncRNA from 10 species